ensembl:snRNA LOC120102765 U2 spliceosomal RNA
AUCGCUUCUCGGCCUUUUGGCUAAGAUCAAGUGUAGAAAAUGCAAGCAAAUCCCACUUUCCGUUCAGGGUACAGAUGAGAUUUUUUUAAAUCAAGCAGCAGGGUCAGAGCCUGAGUGGUUUCUCUGGGUUCUCUGGGACUCUGCUUUCUCAUCUACAGUAGCCCCCACUUUCA